rnacentral:rRNA from 1 species
CCCAUAACGAGCGCAACCCUACCCUUUAGUUGCCAUCAGGUAAUGCUGGGGACUCUAAAGGAACUGCCUACGCAAGUAGUGAGGAAGGCGGGGAGUGACGUCAAAUCAGCACGGCCCUUACGUCCAGGGCUACACACGUGCUACAAUGGCCGAUACAGAGGGCAGCUACCUGGUGACAGGAUGCAAAUCUCCAAAGUCGGUCUCAGUUCGGAUCGGAGUCUGCAACCCGACUCCGUGAAGUUGGAUUCGCUAGUAAUCGCGCAUCAGCCAUGGCGCGGUGAAUACGUUCCCGGGCCUU